UGGGGAAUAUUGCACAAUGGGCGCAAGCCUGAUGCAGCCAUGCCGCGUGUGUGAAGAAGGCCUUCGGGUUGUAAAGCACUUUCAGCGAGGAGGAAGGGUAGUGUGUUAAUAGCACAUUGCAUUGACGUUACUCGCAGAAGAAGCACCGGCUAACUCCGUGCCAGCAGCCGCGGUAAUACGGAGGGUGCAAGCGUUAAUCGGAAUUACUGGGCGUAAAGCGCACGCAGGCGGUUUGUUAAGUCAGGUGUGAAAUCCCCGCGCUUAACGUGGGAACUGCAUUUGAAACUGGCAAGCUAGAGUCUUGUAGAGGGGGGUAGAAUUCCAGGUGUAGCGGUGAAAUGCGUAGAGAUCUGGAGGAAUACCGGUGGCGAAGGCGGCCCCCCUGGACAAAAGA
rnacentral:rRNA from 1 species